rnacentral:rRNA from 1 species
GGAGGAUGCAAGUGUUAUCCGGAAUCACUGGGCGUAAAGCGUCUGUAGGUGGUUUAAUAAGUCAACUGUUAAAUCUUGAGGCUCAACCUCAAAAUCGCAGUCGAAACUAUUAGGCUAGAGUAUAGUAGGGGUAAAGGGAAUUUUCAGUGGAGCGGUGAAAUGCGUAGAGAUUGGAAAGAACACCGAUGGCGAAGGCACUUUACUGGGCUAUUACUAACACUCAGAGACGAAAGCUAGGGUAGCAAAUGGGAUUAGAUACCCCAGUAGUCCUAGCCGUAAACAAUGGAUACUAGAUGUUGAACAGAUCGACCUGUGCAGUAUUAAAGCUAACGCGUUAAGUAUCCCGCCUGGGAAGUAUGCUCGCAAGAGUGAA